CUGGCGGCAUGCUAAUACAUGCAAGUCGAACGCCUCAUCUUCGGAUCAUGAGAGAGUGGCGAACGGGUGAGUACACGUAAGAAACCUGCCCUUAAGACGAGGAUAACUAUUGGAAGCGAUAGCUAAUACUGGAUAGGACAUAAAAUCGCAUGAUUUAAUGUUUAAAGGCGCGAAUGCGUCGCUUGAGGAUGGUCUUGCGCUGUAUUAGUUAGUUGGUGAGGUAACGGCUCACCAAGACAAUGAUACAUAGCUGGUCUGAGAGGAUGAACAGCCACACUGGGACUGAGACACGGCCCAGACUCCUACGGGAGGCAGCAGUAGGGAAUUUUCGGCAAUGGGCGAAAGCCUGACCGAGCAAUGCCGCGUGAACGAUGAAGGUCUUCGGAUCGUAAAGUUCUGUUGUUAAGGAAGAACAGGUAUAAUAGGAAAUGAUUAUGCCCUGACGGUACUUAACCAGAAAGCUCCGGCUAACUACGUGCCAGCAGCCGCGGUAAUACGUAGGGAGCGAGCGUUAUCCGGAAUUAUUGGGCGUACCGCGUGCGUAGGCGGUUUACUAAGUCACAUCUGAAAGCCCACAGCUUACCUGUGGAGGGUGAUUUGAAACUGGUAGACUUGAGUACGGCAGAGGUUAGUGGACUUCACUGUGUAGCGGUGGACUGCGUCGAUUUAUUGAGGCACCCCAGUGGCAAGGCGGAUAAUGGACCGU
rnacentral:rRNA from 1 species